UGGGGGAUAUUGCACAAUGGGCGAAAGCCUGAUGCAGCGACGCCGCGUGGGGGAUGAAGGCCUUCGGGUUGUAAACUUCUUUUGCUCUGAACAAGGCAUGCCUUUGGGGUGAGUUGAGCGCAGGGGUUGAUUAGCGCCGGCUAACUACGUUCCAGCAGCCGCGGUAAUACGUAGGGCGCGAGCGUUGUCCGGAAUUAUUGGGCGUAAAGGGCUUGUAGGUGGCUGGUUGCGUCUGUCGUGAAAGUUCAUGGCUUAACUGUGGGGUUGCGGUGGGUACGGGCUUGCUUGAGUGCAGUAGGGGAGGCUGGAAUACCUGGGGUAGGGGUGGAAAGCGCAGAGAUCCGGAGGAAUACCGGUGGCAGAGGGGGGUCGCUGGGCUAUUUCUGACGCUGAGGGGCGAAAAAGUGGGGAGCGAACAGG
rnacentral:rRNA from 1 species